GACAAAAGAACAUAAAAUUAUUAGUCUCUAAUGGAUUUUUCAUUAAUCCUUUAAUUUAUCAUUAACUUACAUUUAAACAAUAAUGUACUAAAACAUAUUUCUUAAUAAAAUUUAAGGCCUAAUUCAAAUAAAGGCAAAAUCCCCAUUUUUUUUUUCAAUGAUUCUUUGCCAGCAAUACCUUCAAUUUCUUCAAAUGGACUACUUUGAUUAAACAAGUUGUAGACAGAGUAUAACAUUCAAGGAUUGUGAAUGUUAUGGCCUAGAUGUGGAAACAGAUGACAUAGGUAACUACUUUGGAGAUCAUGUGGUGCUUGUACAAAUUGCUUGGGAGUACAUGGCACAGAAUCGGGGACAAAGAGCAAAUGAGGUGGAACUCAGAAUCAGCCUGUCAAAGCAAACAUGAUUUAGAACAAUUGUCCAUAUACUGUACCAUUUUUAUAGUGUUGAAAGCAUCAGUGACGUAUUUUAUUGCAGUCUAUCACAAGCUGCCUUUACUGUAUUAGAUGAGUGACUCAAAACAGCUCUUCCAGAAGCUCAAAUGUUUGCCAUUUAUUUCUUUUAAAAAUUCAAAAGCAGCUUUGCAUCAAUAUUUAAGAUAAUUUAUUAAUUGUUAUUACAUUGCUAGUUAACACUCUACUGGUGAUGUUACUUGUGUGUGUCACGUGCUGAUAUUUUGAAAAGUCAGUGAAAUUUUCCCUAGAGAGUAUAGUUUUGUACACUGCUUCCAUGCAAGAUAUGGACAGAGGGUGGAACUCUGCCAAACUGGGUGGUUCUCAGGUCUGCAAGUAAUAAAUCCUGGCUCCUGGCCAAGUCAAUUAACCUAUCUGUUGCUCAGUCUCCACAUCUGUAAAAGAUGAGUAUAUGAGAAGACAACCUCACAUUCUUGAGAUUAUGAUUCACGCUUGUCCUAGCUCUAAAAUUUUAUCAUCAUGACUUACCUAAUGCCUAUAUUUAGCAAAGCUGAAGUAGUUAAUGGUUAAUGUUUACCCUAUAAGUUACAUUUUUCCUGUCAUUUUGUAUAAUAAAAUAUUCAUCUUAAGAGGACGGCAUUGUGGUGCAGUGGGUUAAGUUGCUGCUUGUGAUGCCAGCAUCUGGUAUCAGAGUGCCACUUCUAGUCUGGGCUGCUCAGCUUCCAAUCCCGCUCCCUGCUAAUGUGUCUGAACAGCUGAUGAUGGCCUAUGUACUUGGGCCCCUGCAACCCAUAAAGGAGACCUGGAUGGAAUUCUUGGCUCCUGGUUUCAGCCUGACCCUGUCUUGGCUAUUUGGUCAUCUGGAGAACAAACCAACAUUUGGAAGAUCUUUUCUGUCAGUCUCUUCCUUUCUUUCUCUGUCACUUUGCCUCUCAAAUGAACAAAUAAACAAGUAAAUAAGUGAUAAAUCUUUUUAAAAAAUUCCUGUUGUAAAUUAUGCAAUUAAGAAAAUAUAGCAGUAUCUAUAAAAUAAUAAAAAGGCACAAUUAACAUUUGGUGCAUUUAUUUUAAUGUCUAUUUCCACAAAUACUCAACAUGCAUACACAUCAUUGGGGUCAUACCAAAUACAAAGUUUUAUAUCUUUUAUUCUAAUGAAUUUUAUACUGUAUUUUCCUAACUUAUUAAAGAAAGUCUUAGGAACUGGUAGACACUUGGCAUCAUGGUUAAGAUGUUGGCUGGGACAGGUACAUCUCAUGUUUCUUGAUUCUAGUUUCCUGCAAAUGUGUACUCUUGGAGGGAGCAUGGGAUGGUUUCAUUCGUUGACUCUCUGCUAUUCAUGUGGGAGUUCCUGGCUCACAGCUUCAGAUGGGUCAGGCCCAGCUAUUGCAGGCAUUUAGGAAAUGAAUCAGAGGAUGGGAGAUUGAUCUUUCUCUCUCUCUCCCAAAUAAAAUGAAAAUAAAUACAUUAAAAUUGAAAAAAGAAAUAAAACAUUUGGAUUAGCUUGAACAUGUCUGGAAGCCAUGAAUAAAUUAUUGUGGGUUUUUUGAGAUUUAUUUUAUUUACUUGAAGGACAGAAUUAGAAAGAGAGAGAGAGAGAGGUCUUCCAUCUGUUGGUUACUCCCCAAAUGGCUGCAAUGGCCAGGGUUGGGCGAGGUUGAAGCCAGGAGCUUCAUCUGGGUCUCCCACAUGGGUUCAGGGGCCCAAGGACUUGGGUUGUCUUGCAUUGCUUUCCCAGGUGCAUUAGCAGGGAGCUGGAUCAGAAAUGGAAUAGCUGGGAUUGGAACUGGUGCCUAUAUGGGAUACCAGCAUUGCAGGUGGCAGUUUAAUCCAUUACACCACAACACUGGCCCCAGACAUGAAUAAACUGUAUACACAUGCACCAACUCUCCUCCCUCAAGUCAAACCUAGAAUCUCAUAGAGGGAGGGAGAAUGGUGGUCUCCUAUGGCUAAGCAUCAGAAGAAGAAAUAACUCGGACUCAGUUUACACAUGAAUUUUCAGAAAACAUGAGGGGUAGUAGAAAAUGUAUGGACACCACAUCAGCCCUACCCAGGGAUGGAAGGACAGUUUUGAGAAGACAUUCUCCAUGCAGGCAGUUUUACGAGUAGUGCACACGGUCAUCCACUCAUUUUAUAGAGAGAAAUGUACUUUGGGUUGCAAAUACCUGGAUUCUGGGGCAGGUGGGAGUGGGUUGGCUGGUUUGUUAGGGGUCUGGCAGGAGCAAACCCUAGGCAUCCUUGGAUGGGUUCUUACAUCCUCCUUCCCUCACCCUUCUGUUCCUUCACUCCUGUUCCCUUAGGACUUAAGGGAUACUAGUAAGAGAGUACCACAUAAACUUCUUUUUUGAAAAAGAUUUACUUAUUUAUUUGAAAGAGUGACACAGAGAAAGAGAAGUAAAGACCGAUACGCACACACCCCCCCACCCCCCCCAGCUCUUCUGCUUGCUGGUUCAUUCCCUAAAUUGCUGCAACAGCCAGGUCUGGGGUUGGCUGCAACCAUGAAUCAGAAACUCCAUCCAAGUCUCCCACAAUAAGAAUCAAGGACUAGUUACUUUUGCCAUUUUCUGCUGCCUUCUCAGGUGCAUUAGCAGGAAGCUGGAUCACAACCAGAGAAGCUGAGACUUGAACUGUUGCUCUGAUAUCGGAUGUCAGCAUUGAAGUGAUGACUUAAACUGCUGUAUUACAGUGCUGGCUCUUUACAUGAACUUUUGUCUCAGGCUCUACUUUGAGGAACCAAAUUCUAUUUAGUUGUGGGCAAAUAAAGCUCCCAAAGUUAUACAAGCAUAUGCUCUGCCCAUGUGUGGAUAAAUGUCUAGUGAUAACUCAAACUAUCACACUGGGAAAAAAAUGAAGAAAGACUUGGCCAGGAACUGGCAUUGUGGCAUGUUUAGCUACUGCUUACUGUGCCAGCAUCUGACGCAGGUUGUGGUUCUGGUUCUACUCCUGGGCUGCUCUAUUUCCAAUCCAGCUCCCUGUUAAUGCGCUGGGAAAGCAGCAGAAGAUCAUCCAUGUGUUUGGGCACCUGCCACCCACAUGGGAGACCUGAAUGGUGUUCCAGGUUGCUGGCUUUGGCCUGCUCCAGCCCUGGUGGUUGCCAUUGUUACCAUCUGGGAAGUAAACCAGUAGGUGGAAGAGCUCUCUUUCUCUCUGUAACUCUGCCCUUCAAAUAAACAAAUCCUUUUAUUUAUUUAUUUAUUUAAAAGUCAGAGUUACAGAGAGAGAAGGAGAGGCAGAGAGAGAGAGAGAGAGAGAGGUCUUCCAAGGACUUAGGCCAUCUUCUACUGCUAUCCUGGGCCAUAGUAGAGAGCUGGACAAGAAGUGGAGAAGCCGGGACUCGAACCGGCGCCCAUAUGGAAUGACGGGAGCUUCAGGCCAGGGCGUUAAUCCACUGCGCCACCGCGCCCGCCCCUCCUUUUUUUUUUUUUUAAGAAAGACUAGUCCAAAUUAUUUCUGCUACCUUUCAAGUGUAUAAUUUCUCUGAAAACACUUCCACCAAGUUAGCCAUUUUGGCACUGAGAUGGAAACUUGUUUGUGAAUAGAUGGACAAAACUGUCUCAUCAACAAAACAGGAAGUUAAGAAGCUGCCUUAUGCUUUUUGACCUGAGAAAAUCAACAUGUAAUCAAAAAAAUUUUUUUUAAUUAAAGCUACCUUAAAGGUUGAAUUUGCCUUUUUCUCAGUUGCAUCAACUUUGUCAAAAACCUAAGCAAAGAAUUUAAAUACCUUUUGAAAAUAUUUUUCCCACCCUGCUCCUCGAUUAGUCUAAAGUUGUUUAACAAUUGGUAAUUGUCUGCCUUUGUUUAGCAUUAAGGACUUCCAAAAUACUACAUAUACUGUUUGAAAUAAAGAAUGGCAUGAUUCAUUUACCAAGGAGUUAUGGAAGAGCACAUUAAUAUCAUUCAUUGCUCUAACUUUAUGAGGGGUUAUUGAUAAGGCAGAGAAAGCAAGUUACCAGAGGAAACAAAGGAGUGGUAGGGAGUCAAGAUGUGAAAUGAGGUGUGCAUUCUAGUACAGGACAAGAAAGGAAGGAAGGUGAUGGCUGUGGUGGGGACUGGGCUGGCUGAUGGUGUGGAUGAGAAAUGAAGCACAGCUGAUCUCAUUCUGGUGACAUCAUGUAUACCUUCCACUGUGACUCAACAGACGGUGUGACAAACCACUUUCUCAUAUCAAUUGGUUGUGUUGUCACUCAACAGUAGGGGAGAAAUCUUUGUUAAUGAACUAUCUCAAGAAUAUCUCAGAGCUUUCUGCCAUGUUGAACUGCAGUCAAAUUCACUUAACCUUUCCUGAAGAGAAACUGAAGUUGUUAAGAAUGAUAAGGAAGUUCCUGUGUUUUUAGAAUGGCAGUAAAGGAUUAUUUUCAUUCAACUGUGAAUUAAAAAAGAUCCUAGACAACUUGGAAUAUUCUGAUUUGGCACCCUUCAAGGUCUGAUUCUCCAGUCUUUCUUCUAGAUAAUGAGCUCUUGUUUAUGCUUCCUGCAGAACUGUGAUCUCUCUACAUUUUACUUGUGGAAUAUUCUGAAAGGCAAACUUAUGGGGGAGAGAGAUCUUUCAUCCACUGAUUCACUACCCAAAUGGCUACAAAGACCUGGAGCUGGGCCAGACCGAAGCAAGGAGCCAGGAGCUUCAUCCAGGUUAACCAUGUGGGUGCAGGGGCCCAAGGUCUUAAGCCAUCUUCUGUUCUUUCCCAGGCAUGUUAGUAAAGAGCUGGAUUGCAAGUGGGGCAACUAGUACUCAAACCAGCACCCAUAUGGCAUCCCAGCAUCACAGGCAGUGGCUUAACCCGUUAUGCCACUUUAUAUUAAUAAAAAUUAAAAAAAAUUACAACCAAGAUGGUGCUCAUUAUAAAAAAUUAAUCUGUUAACAAUCUAAUUCUCCAGUUAGCACUGAGAUCUUAAAAAAAAAAAAAACCCUAGAUGUGGGGAGCAACUCGGACUAGACUAAGUUACUGGAAUUAAGACUUAUUCUAUGCAUCUGCUCUCCCACAAUAUGGUGCUGGGAGAGGAGGAAACAGCUUCUACACAGCUGCCUCCAGUUCAACCAAUAAACUGUAGGACCUGCUCCUGAUUGGAGGAGAGCAGCGUACUCGGCGUGUGGGUAGCAGAGUUGGGAUUGGUGGAAGAGGACUAUAAAGGAGGAGAGAGACAACAUGCACCGGGAACAUCUGAAGGAACACCUGAGCAGCCCCCGAGAGAACCGGCCGGCGGUGUGCUGCUCCCCCGCGGAAGUGGGGAAAGUGGCAGGGGGAACCGCCCUUCCACGGAGGUGGAAGGGUCGGUAGCCAACCCGGGAAGAACCAGCAGCAAACCCGGGGAGGGCCGAGCAGACAAAAGAACAGCGCAGGGUCCUGUGUCGUUCCUCCACGAAGAGGGGGAGCAACACUAGAAAGCAAGACCCCCUUAAGAGAGAUCUUGAAAACUAUGAUCAUGACACUACCUUGCUCUAUACAUAAGGAAUGCUUUUACCUGCAAAUAAUAGAAAGAUCUAAUAAUUACUUAAACACAUAGUGCUUUGUUUUUCCUCAUGUUACACAAAGUCUGGCAGCAAGUUUCCAGGCUAUUCAAUGACUCAAUAAGUUAAUAAAAUAUACACCUCAUUUUUAGAUUUUCCCAACUAGCCAUACAUAACAUAUUUGCUCAUUGCUCCUAUAGUUCCAUGCAUCACUUUUACACUGAAGGAAAGAGGAGGGAUGGGUUGGUGACAAUGAACUCUCCUCAAUUAUUUCCUUUUAAAAACAAGCAAAGGUUUUACAGAAGACUUCUGUCAGAGUUAGGUUUAUGUUCUCAUUGGCCAGAACAUAGUCACACAUCCACUCUAGACCAAUCACUACUGGGAGGAAGUGUAGCAUUACCAUGAUUGGUUAAAAUCAACUGUUACUCAUCUCAUAGUUCAAAGAAGGGAGGUCCCAAGGGAAUUGACAUUCCUUCUAUAAAGGUUUUUUAUUUAUUACCACAACAUAGAAUUAGAGAAGAGAGGAGGAUAUUGUUUUGCCUGACAUGAUAGCCUUCCCAAGAUUUGCCCUAUUGGUUCCCUUUCAUUCUUUGGGUCUAUUUAAAUGUCAUCUCUUCAGAGAGUAUGUUCUUAGUCAUGCAACCAGAGGGAGACCACUCUCCAAUUGUUUUUAUACUCACAGAAAACUGUCCAUAACCUUAUUCUCAAUGUAAUUAUGCAUUUUUUGAUCAUUUAAAAAAAAGUCGAGGCCAGUGCUGUGCCAUAGUGGGUAAAGCCACCACCUUCAAUGCUGGCAUACAAUAUGGGCAUCAGUUCGAGUUCCAGCUGCUCCAUUUCCAAUACAGCUCUCUGUUAUGGCCUGGGAAAGCAGUGGAAGAUGACCCAAGUCCUUGUGCCCCUGUAUCCACAUGGAAGACUCAGAAGAAGCUCUUGGCUCUAGGCUUCUAAUCAGUGCAGCUCUGGUGUUGCAGCCAUCUUGGGAGUGAACCAGUGGAUGGAAGACCUCUGCCUCUCUUACUCUACCACCUUUCAAAUAAAUAAAUAAACAAAUAAGUAUUAAAAAAGUGUUCUCUUUGUCCCCUUUGCUCCAAGGAUGAUGUCCUUUUGGGGAAAACACUUUAAUUGGCCUGUAAAUAUGCAGAACAAAGUAAAAAUCCUGUUCUAUUUUUGAAGGACACAAUUAAUUAAUAAGUUAACUGAUUUACAUAGUAAUAGUAUUGUCUUUCUUUGGGGCACAGUACAGAUUAAUCAUGGAUAGGUAAAGAUGAUUUUUCUGCCCUCUCUGCAUCCCAAGGAUUUGGACUUAGCAGGAGAGAAAUUACAAGGAUACUACAAGAGAUGGUUUAAUCUGUAGAGUAUGAUGGAAGGCUAAGUGCUAAACAGAGAGAAAUAAACAGUAAUGAUAAUGAUAAUAAUGACAAUAUUUAAAACCUGCUAUUGGGUGCAUACUAGGUAUGGGGCAGAAAUCUAAGUAAUGUGGUUUGGGUUGGUAUUUGGCGCAGUGGUUAAGAUGAUGACUGGGACACAUGCAUCCCAUAACAGAGUGCCAGCGCUCAACUUCUGGCUCCACUUUCAACCCAGCUUCCUGCUAAUGUGCAUCCUGGGAAGUGGCCAAUCAUGGAUCUAAGUACUUGGGUUUCCUGUCACCCAUAUGGGACAUGCAGAUUGAGUCCCAAUCUCUUAGCUUCAUCUUGGCCCUGCUUCUGUCUCUCUGUUUUUCAAAUUAAAAAAGAAAGAAAGAAAAUAAUUUUUUAAAAAAGUAAUUCUUGGGGCCGGCGCUGUGGCAUAGCAGGUAAACCACCGCCUGCAGUGCUGGCAUCCCAUAUGGGUGCCAGUCGGAGUCCUGGCUGCUCCACAUCCGACCCAGCUCUGCUAGGGCCUGGGAAAGCAGUGGAAGAUGGCUCAAGUCUUUGGGCUCCUGCAACCACAUGGGAGAACCCUAAGAAGCUCCUGGCUCCUGGCUUCUGAUCAGCACAGCUCCGGCCUUUGCAGCCAUUUGGGGAGUGAACCAUCGGAUGGAAGACUCUCUCUCUCUCUCUCUCUCUCUCUCUCUCUCUCUCUCUCUGUGUGUGUGUGUGUGUGUGUGUAACUCUGACUUUCAGGUAAAUAAAUACAUCUUUAAAAAAUUCCAAUAAAAGUAAUUUUGAGAAAAAACUCAUUAAGACUUCAAAGGUAUUUUGGCAUGGUAGGUGCCCUUUGAAACAGAGAUUUUAAAUGACCUGUCAGAGGUCACUCAGACAUUAGGAGGAGGAGCCAGGAUUUUCAUUUAUGCUGUCCACGUCUUGAUUAUGCUCUUGAUCACUGCCUCUUGUGGGCAGAGAUAGCUCAUCUAUGAGAGCACAGUCUCUUUUACUCAUUGUAAUUCCUCUUUAUAUCCUCAAGUCUUUGGUAAAUUUUGUUAAAUGUUGUUGCUUGGCUUUAGCUGGGCAUUGUUAAGUUGAUAGAGGAGUCUCUGUUAAUGCUUAAAAGGGAAAUUUGGGCAAGCAGUACUGACCAGGAGAAGCUUAUUAAUCAGUGAUCCCCAGGGAUCUGGAUCAGAACAGUUGUCUGAGAGGAUGAGCAACAACCAGUGUGAUAGUGUAGAAUUGAGGAGCCUGCCUCAUUCAUAGAGAGGCAUACAAGAAUGUGAAGAGGGGCACUCUCACAAAAUUAUGGAAUUAUAGAAACUUGAAGUAUCCUUAAUUUGCUAAUGAUAACUUGUAAAUAAGAAUCAUAAGGAUGUUAGGAGGUUAGAGAAUUGGACAUCUGGGUAUGCUUCCUGGACUUGAUGUAAAUUGGACAUAAAGACAUAACCACGUUCCACCUUGCUGCUUAUUCCAAACACUACCUUCCAUUGUAUCCUGUCCAUCUCAUGGCUACAUGAAGUGGGGCUAAAUCAGUCAGGUGGCACAGAGGCUAACGGUGUCAGGGCAGCGGAAGCUUAUUAACAACUCAAAGGACAUGAUUUGACCUCUCAUAGUUGGUGUACAGAAAGAAAAUUAUGGAGGCUUUUGAUGCACCUGAAGCAGGAGAGGAAAAUCUUGUAUUCAAACGCUAUGAAAGGAUGGGCUUGUUUCUUUAUAACUCAAAAAAUCCACUGUCAGGAAAUAGAAAGGAUUGAAAGGCCCUUAAUGCCCCACCCACAGCUGCUGGAUGGCUUUAAGAAAUCUAAAGCUAUUACGAUAACAAUAACUAAGUUUUGAGCCACUAAUAUUUUCCAGGUGUGAUUUAUUUAUCACUGUCUAUGAAUUAGGGAUUAAUUCUUCUCCCUAUUUUAUAGACUUGUGCACAGCAGUUCUUGCCUGAGUGACAGCUGACUAAACUCCACUUUGUUCUCUGUUCAGCUUUUAUGCAAUUUUCCAAGGUUUUGUUACAGUGAGAGGCAACAUAUGUCCACAUAUUAAUGUGAAAAUUAUUGUGAUUCAGAUUUUUAAAGGAAAAUUCUGUAUAUUGUGGAUGCUAUAUUGGGCAUGGUAGAUAAUCAGCUGAGCAAAGUAGAACUGACUUACUCUUGGAUGUGGCAGGAAUAAUUGCAGAAACGAUGUAUAUACAACGUAGGACUGCUCGACUUUUAUGUAUUUUAAUUUAAUUGUUUUUUUUCCUUUUUUAAAAAAUUUUAUUUGUUACACAAGUUCAUAUAUUUGAUAAAUACAGAUUUAGAACCAUAGUGGUACUUCCCUGCCU